rfam:Desulfonispora thiosulfatigenes DSM 11270 genome assembly, contig: Dest_Contig00036
GGUCAAGUUAUAAAGGGCAUACGGUGGAUGCCUUGGCGCUAAGAGCUGAUGAAGGACGUGGUAAGCUGCGAUAAGCUACGGGGAGCUGCAAGCAAGUUUCGAUCCGUAGAUUUCCGAAUGGGGCAACCUGCUUGGAGUAAUAUCCAAGUAUCAUAUACUGAAUACAUAGGUAUAUGAAGGCAACCCGGGGAACUGAAACAUCUAAGUACCCGGAGGAAAAUAAAGAAAACUCGAUUCCCCUAGUAGCGGCGAGCGAAAAGGGAAAAGCCCAAACCAAUCCUUCGGGAUUGGGGUUGUGGGACCUGCAUAAAGUUCAAUUUUCUUAGUCGAAUAGAUCUGGAAAGGUCAACCGCAGAAGGUAACAGUCCUGUAAGCGAAAAGAAAAGCGAACCGGCGGGUAUCCCGAGUACCACGAGGCACGUGAAAUCUCGUGGGAAUCUGGGGGGACCACCCCCCAAGGCUAAAUACUCCUUAGCGACCGAUAGUGAACUAGUACCGUGAGGGAAAGGUGAAAAGCACCCCGGGAGGGGAGUGAAAUAGAACCUGAACCCGUAUGCUUACAAUCUGUCACAGCACAUUAUUGGUGUAGUGGCGUACUUUUUGUAGAACGGACCGGCGAGUUACGUUAGCAAGCAAGGUUAAGGUGAGAAGCCGAAGCCGAAGCGAAAGCAAGUCUUAAUAGGGCGAAAUAGUUUGCUGGCGUAGACCCGAAACCGGGUGAUCUACCCAUGUCCAGGGUGAAGCGUUAGUAAAAUAACGUGGAGGCCCGAACCAGGGCACGUUGAAAAGUGCUUGGAUGAGGUGUGGGUAGGGGUGAAAUUCCAAUCGAACCCGGAGAUAGCUGGUUCUCCCCGAAAUAGCUUUAGGGCUAGCCUUAACUUAUAGAUUUACGGAGGUAGAGCACUGAAUUGGCUAGGGGUCUUCGCAGAUUACCGAACCAUAUCAAACUCCGAAUGCCGUAAAUUAAUAGUUAGGAGUCAGACUAUGGGGGAAAAGCUUCAUAGUCGAGAGGGAAACAACCCAGACCGACAGCUAAGGUCCCCAAGACGAAUUAAGUGGGAAAGGAUGUGGAACUGCAGAAACAACCAGGAUGUUGGCUUAGAAGCAGCCAUCAUUUAAAGAGUGCGUAAUAGCUCACUGGUCCAGCGGUUCUGCGCCGAAAAUGUAACGGGGCUCAAAUUCGUCACCGAAGCUUCGGCUUGUACCAGAUUACUGGUACGAGGGUAGGGGAGCAUUCUUAGCGCAGCGAAGGUAUACCGAAAGGAGUGCUGGAGCGCUAAGAAGAGAGAAUGCCGGUAUAAGUACGCGAAAAGGCAGGUGAGAAUCCUGCCCGCCGAAAACCUAAGGUUUCCUGGGGAAGGCUCGUCCGCCCAGGGUAAGUCAGGACCUAAGGCGAGGCCGAAAGGCGUAGUCGAUGGAAAAUCGGUUGAGAUUCCGAUACCACCGGAUAUGCGCUUGAGUGAAGUAGUGACGCAGUAGGGUAGGUGGAGCGCACAGUUGGUGAUGCGUCUAAGCUAGUAGGGAGUCAGGUAGGCAAAUCCGCCUGACACAUAUCCUGAGAAGCGAAUGCGAGGGAAAUUAAGUACCGAAGUCGCUGAUCCCACACUGCCGAGAAAAGCUACUAGCGAGUAUAUCAGGUGCCUGUACCGUAAACCGACACAGGUAGGUAGGGUGAGAAACCUAAGGCGCGCGAGAGAACUCUUGUUAAGGAACUCGGCAAAAUGACCCCGUAACUUAGGGAUAAGGGGUGCUCUGAUAAGGUGACAUUUUCAAAUGAAGCCUGAGAGAGCCGCAGUGAAUAGGCCCAGGCGACUGUUUAGCAAAAACACAGGUCCUUGCGAAAGAGAAAUCUGACGUAUAAGGGCUGACGCCUGCCCGGUGCUGGAAGGUUAAGGGGAAAGGUUAGCCCUCGGGCGAAGCUUUGAACUGAAGCCCCAGUAAACGGCGGCCGUAACUAUAACGGUCCUAAGGUAGCGAAAUUCCUUGUCGGGUAAGUUCCGACCCGCACGAAAGGCGUAACGAUCUGGGCACUGUCUCAACAAGAGACUCGGCGAAAUUGAAGUACCGGUAAAGAUGCCGGUUACCUGCGAUAGGACAGAAAGACCCCAUGGAGCUUUACUGUAGCUUGAUAUUGGGUUUUGGUGCCUCAUGUACAGGAUAGGUGGGAGACUAGGAAUCGUGUGCGCCAGCAUGCGUGGAGUCACUGGUGGGAUACCACUCUUGAGGUACUGAAAUUCUAACUCAUUUCCCUGAAGCGGGAAAGAGGACAUUGUCAGGUGGACAGUUUGACUGGGGCGGUCGCCUCCCAAAAGGUAACGGAGGCGCUCUAAGGUUCCCUCAGCGCGGAUGGAAAUCGCGCGAAGAGUGUAAAGGUAUAAGGGAGCUUGACUGCGAGACUGACAAGUCGAGCAGGUACGAAAGUAGGACUUAGUGAUCCGGCGGUUGCGAGUGGAAGUGCCGUCGCUCAACGGAUAAAAGCUACCCUGGGGAUAACAGGCUUAUCUCCCCCAAGAGUCCACAUCGACGGGGAGGUUUGGCACCUCGAUGUCGGCUCAUCGCAUCCUGGGGCUGUAGUAGGUCCCAAGGGUUGGGCUGUUCGCCCAUUAAAGCGGUACGCGAGCUGGGUUCAGAACGUCGUGAGACAGUUCGGUCCCUAUCCAUCGCAGGCGUAGGAAAUUUGAGAGGAUCUGACCCUAGUACGAGAGGACCGGGUUGGACAAACCGCUGGUGUACCAGUUGUCUCGCCAGAGGCAUAGCUGGGUAGCUACGUUUGGAAGUGAUAAGCGCUGAAAGCAUCUAAGCGCGAAGCCUACCUCAAGAUGAGAUUUCCCACAGCGUAAGCUGGUAAGACUCCAGAGAGAAUAUCUGGUAGAUAGGCUAGAAGUGUAAGUGCCGUGAGGUAUUUAGCGGACUAGUACUAAUAGGUCGAGGGCUUGACCUA